UACGUAGGGUGCGAGCGUUAAUCGGAAUUACUGGGCGUAAAGUGUGCGCAGGCGGCCGCGCAAGUCGAGUGUGAAAGCCCCGAGCUUAACUUGGGAAUUGCGCUCGAAACUACGUGGCUGGAGUGUGGCAGAGGAAGGUGGAAUUCCACGUGUAGCGGUGAAAUGCGUAGAGAUGUGGAGGAACACCGAUGGCGAAGGCAGCCUUCUGGGCCAACACUGACGCUCAUGCACGAAAGCUUGGGGAGCAAACAGG
rnacentral:rRNA from 1 species